rnacentral:misc_RNA from 1 species
CAUGUCAGGCUGCUCAAAACUUGAGGAAUUGCCAAAGUCCAUUGGCUCUUUAACUCGCCUUAUAUUCUUGAAUUUGGAAAAUUGUGAGAACUUUAAGAAUCUUCCAGAAAGCAUUGGUGGUGUAAAAGCACUGGAGGAGCUGAACAUGUCGGGCUGCAUUAAAUUUGAGGAAUUUCCAGAAUCUAUUGGACUUCUAACUCACCUUAUUUACUUGAAUCUACAAGGUUGCAAGAAUCUUAAGGAGCUUCCAAGAAGUAUUGGUGAUCUAAAUAAGCUAAACAUUUCAGGCUGCUUAAAACUCAAGGAGUUGCCAUCGUCCGCUGAACUUCUCAAUUGACAUCUCUAGCAUCUGCAAGGUUGCAAGAACCUGAGUAAUCUUCCCGGAAGUUUUUGUUCUCUAAGAUCACUGGACGAGCUCAACACGUCAAGAUGAAUUGAAGUAUGAAAUCUAUGGCUUUACUUAAUGUCGAUGAAACCGCAAUAUGUAGACUACCAGAGACCAAUGGAAAUCUGAGAAGACUGGAGAGUUUGUCCUUGUGGGGAUGCCAUCUUAAAAUUGCACUUAUAAAACAUCUGCAUUUUUCAUCUUUCUGCUGUAUUCUUUAAGAUAAUUGGAUCUUUGUUGUUGCAACAUAUUAGAUAAUGUUAUUCAUCAUGAUCUCAGAGGUUGCCCCUUUUGGAAGAGGUACAAUAAUGUAGAGACAACGAUAAAGGUUUAUCUGUUAGCAUUUGUAGACUUCCCGAACUUGAUACCCUCUCAUUCAGUGAUUGCAGAUGCCUUCAGUUUAUACCACAGCUUUAGUCAAUUUUACAAUCCUUGCAUUGCAAUGAUUGUCCAUCAGUGGAAAGUGUUAUCCUAACUUCCUUGCAGAAUUAGAUUUGCAGAUUAAUGGGUGUCCAAGUUUAAAGGAAAUUGUGGGUUUCUUCAAAUUGGAGCCAUUAGGAGUUGAAGUUCUGGGAAAAACUUCUCAGGAGUUGACUCUUUCACACAAGAAACAAUAACAAAAGUUCAUAUGCAUAAGAUUUGCAAUCUGACAAACUUGUGGGACAUGUCCCUCCAGGCUCUUUCUCUGAGUGCUGUUUAUAGCAUUUUUCUGUGGAAGUGAGAUUUCAGUGUGGUUCAGCAACCAAAGUGAAGGUGACAUCAUAUCUUCACAUGCCUCCACUUGAUCAAGAUUCUAAGAUUAUUUGCCACAUCCGCAAUUUAUGCAUGGGGGAGAUCUUCUGAAUCUUGCUGGUUUUUUACUGACAUCAAGUUUAUAACUGAAACAAAAUGUUUGACUGACAUAUGCUCCAUAUGUCUCCGUCCUAUCAAUUGACAUCCAGCAAGAUAUCAUGUGGCUGUGCAACUGGAUUUUCAAUAAUCAUAUAGAAGGCAUUGAUGAAUUGGACAUGAGUUGGAGAUUUAAGAACGAGAUUGAGAAAGGUCAUGAAAUAGAAUUUUCAGUUAUCGUGGGCUAUCAAAUUGUAGUAAAAAUAUGCACCGUGCGGCGUCCACCUACUCUAUCACCCUAAUGGUUGGGGCUCACCAUCAAAUUUUCUAGCUAUUAUUUAUCAUGCCUUGGACUGACACCAUGAACGGUCAUUCUCU